rnacentral:rRNA from 1 species
UACGAAGGGGGGCUAGCGUUGCUCGGAAUCACUGGGCGUAAAGCGCACGUAGGCGGCUUCUUAAGUCAGGGGUGAAAUCCUGGAGCUCAACUCCAGAACUGCCUUUGAUACUGAGGAGCUUGAGUCCGGGAGAGGUGAGUGGAACUGCGAGUGUAGAGGUGAAAUUCGUAGAUAUUCGCAAGAACACCAGUGGCGAAGGCGGCUCACUGGCCCGGGUACUGACGCUGAGGUGCGAAAGCGUGGGGAGCAAACAGG